rnacentral:lncRNA from 1 species
AAUUUUUGGAUGCCUGAAAAGGUUUGUGGCAUGGUGAUUGUGGCACCUUUCCUUGGACAAAAACUCUAAUCCCAAUUCUAUUUAAAAGGGUCUCCUCCUCUUGGCAUCCCAUCUUUGGUUCCCUUGUUGGUGUUUUUGUUUCCAGAGAUUCUCCUCCUCUUCCUCUCUUUCUCCUCCAGAUAUUCUCUAGCUUUGGAGUGUCCAAGGUAUUUGAAGAAGAGGGAAGAAAUCCACCAUCAAAGUUCCUUGCAGGCUAGCACCUCCAAGGACUCAGAUCUGCGUCAGUCUUCGCAUGAAUUUUCUAUAGAGGUCAGACGACUUCGUAUGGCAGCGAGUGACCUGAGAGACACCUUCUCCAAGUGUUAGACUAGUGAAGAUCAAGAUCUUAUUAGUUUGGUAAUUGUUUCUAAGCUAUCUUGAUCAUGUAUGUUAGAUCUAAGAGUUAG